UCCCUGAGACCCUAGAGUUGUC
rnacentral:miRNA from 2 species